AAAAAAAACUUGUCUCAAGAUGGAUCGUGAGAACUGACUUCCAAAAAUUGUUCUCUGAUCACCAAAAGCACAUCAUGGCACAAGCAUGCUCACACACUCAACACACACACACACACACACACACACACACACACACACUCUCCAGACACAAAUAGUUAAGUGUCGCAAAAUCUGUGGCCUUGGCCCAGUACAUGCUUUUAGGGAGGUCUUUAAGGCUUUAGGAUUUGAACAGGGCACUGGAAAUGCCAAGACGCAACUAAUUUUGGCCUAUUACAGUCAACAUUUCAUAUCCAAUCUUAGGGGUCUUUUAAAGUAAAAGCAUGGUUUCUUUAGAAAGUCAGCUGUGUUGGAUGAUGAUUCAGUGGGGCAGACAGACACAUGUGAAAGGAUUUUGCUAAAGCAGACACAUGACAGAGUGUUUUGCUGAAGCAGACUCAGAUGAAAGGAUAUUUUACCAAAGCAAAUAAUGUGAAAGAACGCAUGUUGAAAGGUUCUUCACUAAUGACACCCAUGUAUUGGUUCACCUUAUAUUACUAAGCUCCACUUAUGAUGGUGCCAUGGAAAGAAACACAUCAAAAAAACUGGUGGCUUCUUGCCACUUCCGAGGACUCGGGCCGGUUGACAGAGUGACUUCAGCUGAUACGGAUUCACAUAGAGUUUUUUUUUUUAAAGAGUUAUUUAUUUUAUAUAAGUACACUGUAGCUGUCUUUAGACACACCAGAAGAGGGCAUCAGAGCUUGUUACAGAUGGUUGUGACCCACCAUGUGGUUGCUGGGAAUUGAACUCAGGACCUCUGGACGAGCAGUUGUUACAGAUGGUUGUGAGCCACCAUGUGGUUGCUGGGAAUUGAACUCAGGACUUCUGGACGAGCAGUUGGUGCUCUUAACCACUGAGACAUCUCUCCAGCCCUCACAUAGAGUUUUGCCCAAACAGUCUCACAUGGGGAGACAAGAUCCACGGGAAGACACAUGAUGUUUGGACAGAGUAUAAGUAGACCCAAUGUAGAGUGACAGUUGGCUUACAUAGCUAGGUUUGCAACACUUCUGGUCUUGCAUCUCUGUCUUCACUGAUCUUCACUUCCUUAAGAAAGAUGUGGCAAAGAACUUCUGGCAUCCCUGCUGGUCCUGGUUGCUCCUGCUGACUUGUGCCAAUGCAACAGAGACCUGGCUGUCUCUGGUAGGCCGUGCCACCCCUGCUGAUCUGUGUUUCCUAUCCUGACUGCUGAUGUGUUCGUGAAGUGUUUGCAAGUGGAUCGAGCUGCCGCUGCUGAUUCCUGUAAACCGAACUGCUGGUUUCCUGACAACACAGGUGAUAAAAGACUUUGGAUACCAUCAAAAUUGAUAAAGAUCUAAUCCAAGUAAGUGACUCAAGGAAUGAAAGACGCAAAAAGACAGCAACACGGAUGAAGCAGAAAGCUGAUACCCCUGCAUGGGAACAACUCAGCAAACUGGUUGAAGAAGGACAGACUGGCAGACUGGAAAAUCUUGAUGCUGAAAUGGACAUUGGCUAAAGGACAAAUGAUCAGGACUGCCGUUAUGAAGGACAUUUGGACUGUUAAGUUUAUGGGUUUGAUAAUUGCUUCUGAUGUAAUAGUUAAAUGGUGUACAAUUUUUAGCUAAAACGGGAAGGGAGGUGGGGAAUUUAAUCCAGCAAUUCUGGCUGGAAUACAGAUACAUUUUUAAUCCCAGGAGCAAGCAGAUUUCUGAGGUCAAGGCCAGUCUGGUACAGAGCAAGUUCCAGGUACAGAAAAACUGAGGUCCAGGUAUCGUGGUACAUACUUUUAAUCCUGGCACUCAGCAGUCAGUGGAGUAUGGUGGAGUUGAGUGUGGCAGUUUAGUUGAUGGUCAUUCAGUUCCUGGAGUUUAGAGAUAGUUUUACGGGGACAGUUUUACAGACAGGUUGCAGAGAAAGCAAGCUAGACACAGGUGAAGACAGAAUGAGCCAGGGAAUGAGAAGAAGCCAGAAGAUUAGGACAGAUUGCUAGAGUUAGUUUGAGGCCAAGCAGAGCAAUUCAGUCAGAAGCUGAGAGAAGCCAGUUUGAAUCAGUCAGCCUGGAGAGGAGUUUGAACCAGAACAGCUGAGUUGAACCAGCCAGCCAGAAUUCAAAAAGAGCUAGAAAGGAUGAGCUUAUUCAGUGGUUUUCCUUGGAGAUGAUAAUUAUGACAGGUAAAUAAAAGUUACUUUUAACCCCCUGGCAAUGGGCAAAGAGACACCUGGUUUGUGGUGUUGCUCUUAUAUCAGUCAGGGACAGAGCAGAUGGCAGUCCUUUGUUCAUCCUAGCUUGAUACCUGGCUUGGUGGCCAAAGCUAUUUCAUGCCUAGGGCACAUUAAAAAAAAGUUACUUUUACAGGACCCCUGCCUAUCUUAAGGAUACUAGUUUAGGCUUACUAAUUGAGGUGAAGAAAAAAAACAAUAAUGAAAAACAAUAAUGAAAGAGCAAGUUGGGAACAGUUUAUCAGGCUUACACUUCCAUAACACCGUUCAUCAUCAAAGGAAGUCAGGGCGUUAACGCAACUUCUGGAGAGAUGUUCUGCUAAAGCAAGCACGUGAAGGACGUGUGAUAAAAGAUUCUUUGCUAAUGAUACACACGUGUAGGUCUGCCUUACAUUGCAUAGUUGAGUUCCAUUUGUUAAGAUGCCAUAGGAUGCACGCAGGUGAAGGCAGGUACAAGAUAGAACAAGGCCAGGACGAGAAGGCAGGAUGGGCAGGAGAAAAGUUUUAGAGAGAAGAGGAGACUGAAGCAAGGAAGAGAAGCAGUGGAGAGAACAUGGAGGCUGAUGUUAAGAUUCCUCUCUGCACAUUUACAGGUUGUUAUGAAUGUUCUUAAGGGAUGGGUGUGUACAGGGCUUUGUAUGUCUAGGUGGGCAGUUAUAUAUUAUCAACUGGUUGUAAGUUAAUUGUGUGGAUGUAUUGUACGUUGAGCAUUUAACACAUACAUCUGGCUGUUGUGUUCCAGUUUGCUGAGUAAUGAUUUCACUGGGUGUUGGGAAUAUGAACAGAGUUUGUGACAGGAAACCGUGCUAGUCUAUAGAAUGCUUGGGGCUAGCCUGGUGUGGGGCCAUGUGGCCCCACAGAACGCUGUGUGAGUCUCAGACAUGGUAACAACCACCAAGGGGACGGUGUGUGAAAGCAGUAACAGAGAAACAGCUAGAGUGCACGGAUCCUCGGGAGUAGAAACUCGCCGGAACCAAGACGAGUGUCAUUUUUUAUAAUUUUACAGCAACAACAAAAAACUUCUGGUGUAGGGGCUGGAGAGAUGGUUCAGUGGUUAAGAGCACUGACUGCUCUUCCAGAGGUCCUGAGUUCAAUUCCCAGCAACCGAAUGGUGGCUCACAACCAUCUGUAAAGAGAUCCGAUGCCCUCUUCUGGUGUAUCUGAGGACGGCGACAGUGUACUUAGAUA